GACAGGAAUUAGCAGGCUGGCCAGCAACACACGAAUGCGACUCAGGAAUUCACAAUAACAUUGGACUGUGUAUUUGUACUCUUGUGAAUAUGAGACAGAAUACAACCAGUGCUGAAAGUGCUCUUUAAUAGAGCAGUUAAUCUCUACACUCCCAGUUUUACCCUGACACAAGGCUAUUUUCGUUGUACAACACAUAUGGAGUAAACAGUGUCAGCUUCGAUGGCAAAACAAAGGUAGAGUGUUACAGGUACUCAAAAUCUCACUUGUACGUGUCAGUGACCUUGGAGUAUAGAGCAUUCUCAAACCUCAGAAGAUAUAAAAAUUGGAUGAUCAAGGCAAGAAGAAGUUCCAGCACGUGAGAAAGAAGCGACUGAUUUCAAUCAAAGAAAGCAUAGCUUUUCAGAAAGUGAAAAAGGAGAUUGAAGAAGAAAACCACUACAGGACAAACUAGAACAAGUUGGAAUUAAAUAUAUC
rnacentral:lncRNA from 1 species